UACGGGGGGGGCAAGCGUUGUUCGGAAUUACUGGGCGUAAAGGGCUCGUAGGCGGCCAACUAAGUCAGACGUGAAAUCCCUCGGCUUAACCGGGGAACUGCAUCUGAUACUGGAUGGCUUGAGUUCGGGAGAGGGAUGCAGAAUUCCAGGUGUAGCGGUGAAAUGCGUAGAUAUCUGGAGGAAUACCGGUGGCGAAGGCGGCAUCCUGGACCGACAUUGACGCUGAACGGCGAAAGCUAGGGGAGCAAACGGG
rnacentral:rRNA from 1 species